CCUACGGGAGGCAGCAGUGAGGAAUAUUGGUCAAUGGCCGUAAGGCUGAACCAGCCAAGUCGCGUGAAGGAAGACGGCUCUAUGGGUUGUAAACUUCUUUUAUAGGGGAAUAAAGGUAUCCACGUGUGGAUAUUUGCAUGUACCCUAUGAAUAAGGAUCGGCUAACUCCGUGCCAGCAGCCGCGGUAAUACGGAGGAUGCGAGCGUUAUCCGGAUUUAUUGGGUUUAAAGGGUGCGUAGGUUGAUUGUUAAGUCAGUUGGGAAAGUUUGUGGCUCAACCGUAAAAUGGCAGUUGCAACUGGCAGUCGGGAGUACAGUAGAGGUGGGCUGAAGUAGUGGUGUAGCGGUGAAAUGCUUAGAUAUCACGAAGAACUCCGAGUGCGAAGGCAGCUAACUGGACUGCAACUGACACUGAGGCUCGAAAGUGUGGGUAUCAAACAGGAUUAGAGACCCGAGGAGUC
rnacentral:rRNA from 1 species